rnacentral:rRNA from 1 species
UACGUAGGGUGCAAGCGUUGUCCGGAUUUAUUGGGCGUAAAGAGCGUGUAGGCGGCCAGGUAGGUCUGCUGUGAAAUCUCGAGGCUUAACCUCGAGCUGUCGGCGGAAACCAUCUGGCUAGAGUCCGGAAGAGGAGAAUGGAAUUCCCGGUGUAGCGGUGAAAUGCGCAGAUAUCGGGAAGAACACCCGUGGCGAAGGCGGUUCUCUGGGACGGUACUGACGCUGAGACGCGAAAGCGUGGGGAGCGAACAGG